rnacentral:rRNA from 1 species
GUAGGUGGCAAGCGUUGUCCGGAAUUAUUGGGCGUAAAGCGCGCGCAGGCGGUUCUUUAAGUCUGAUGUGAAAGCCCACGGCUCAACCGUGGAGGGUCAUUGGAAACUGGAGAACUUGAGUACAGAAGAGGAAAGCGGAAUUCCACGUGUAGCGGUGAAAUGCGUAGAGAUGUGGAGGAACACCAGUGGCGAAGGCGGCUUUUCUGGUCUGUAACUGACGCUGAGGCGCGAAAGCGUGGGGAGCAAACAGGGAUUAGAUACCCUGGUAGUCCACGCCGUAAACGAUGAGUGCUAAGUGUUAGGGGGUUUCCGCCCCCUUAGUGCUGCAGCUAACGCAUUAAGCACUCCGCCUGGGGAUACGGCCGCAAGGCUGA